CCUACGGGGGGCAGCAGUGAGGAAUAUUGGUCAAUGGACGAGAGUCUGAACCAGCCAAGUAGCGUGAAGGAUGACUGCCCUAUGGGUUGUAAACUUCUUUUAUAUGGGAAUAAAAUGUUCCACGUGUGGGAUUUUGUAUGUACCAUAUGAAUAAGGAUCGGCUAACUCCGUGCCAGCAGCCGCGGUAAUACGGAGGAUCCGAGCGUUAUCCGGAUUUAUUGGGUUUAAAGGGAGCGUAGGUGGAUUGUUAAGUCAGUUGUGAAAGUUUGCGGCUCAACCGUAAAAUUGCAGUUGAAACUGGCAGUCUUGAGUACAGGAGAGGUAGGCGGAAUUCGUGGUGUAGCGGUGAAAUGCUUAGAUAUGACGAAGAACUCCGAUUGCGAAGGCAGUUCACUGGACUGCAACUGACACUGAGGCUCGAAAGUGUGGGUAUCAAACAGGAUUAGAUACCCGUGUAGUC
rnacentral:rRNA from 1 species